rnacentral:rRNA from 1 species
AAUCAACGCUGGCGGCGUGCCUAACACAUGCAAGUCGAACGCGAAAAGGGCUUCGGCCCCUAGUAGAGUGGCGUACGGGUGAGUAACGCGUGGGUCAUCUGCCCUCGGGUGGGGAAUAACUAAUCGAAAGGUUAGCUAAUACCGCAUAACACAGUGAUGUCAAAGCAGCAAUGUGCCUGAGGAGGAGCCUGCGUCUGAUUAGGUAGUUGGUGGGGUAACGGCCUACCAAGCCUGCGAUCAGUAGCUGGUCUGAGAGGACGGCCAGCCACAAUGGCACGGAAAUACGGGCCACACUCCUACGGGAGGCAGCAGUGGGGAAUUUUGCGCAAUGGGCGAAAGCCUGACGCAGCAACGCCGCGUGAGGGAUGAAAUAUUUCGGUAUGUAAACCUCGCAAAUAUGGGAAGAACAAAAUGACGGUACCAUAUGUAAGCCACGGCUAACUUCGUGCCAGCCGCCGCAGUAACAC